CAGAUGGAGUUAGGGAGUCAAUGGAUCCCAAGGUUUAUUAAUAAAGUUGGAUGAGGGGAUGAGGGGAUGAGGGGAUGAGAACCGGGCCCGGGUGACGAGGGGGGAAGCUCUCAGAGUAGUUACUAGCGUUUUGUGGUUUUUCCUGGUGAAAGUAUUUACUGUUGUUUGCUGUCUUGUGCCUCAGCCUUGUCUGACCAGCGCUGCCGUCCACUCCUGCUUCCGGACUCAACUCGGUUGCCAGUCUCUCCGGUCUCCCGGCUGGUCUCCGCACUUUCCCCGGAAGCUUCGGCCCGGCAUCCUGGCCAACCCGGACAUAUAACUCAGUAGAUUAGGCCGGACGUUACCACGUGGAGAACUGUGACGAUCUGGCGGCUUGUAGCUGGAGAACCGGGGUAGAUAACAGACGGUGAUGAGCAGAUGAGAAUCAGGGUGCUUCCUCCACACCCACGGCCACCUUGACGAUGACAGUGUGGUCCUUGUCUUCAGACCAGUGCCGGGCCACUUUGAUGUGACCGCAGAGAGGAAGCAGAGGUCAAGUCUGGGAGAUCCUGACACGGCCAAAUGAAUAAGAGACAUCUCCUGCUGAUGUCAUGAUCGGUCCUGCCCUGGAGUUUUUCCUUUUCCUCCAUCCCUAUGCUCAUCCUCCUCCUCUUCCACUGCCUGGUUCACUGGCAGUCUAACUGGCAGUGGAUUUCCUAUUAUAUGAAUAAAUGCUUCACAAAAAAUGUGUGGUUUGAAGAAGGACGAAGCACAAGAGGUUGUCCAGGACAUCAAAUUUACACAUCACGAAUCACUGAUUUGCUCUUGUGUACACCUCUGGCCAGAACAACGCCCUCCUCAUUUAGACUUCCAUGUUCCAACUGGGGUCUGACAUCUACAAUCCAACCUUUUUUAACAGUGUAAUAAACCCCAUCCUGGGUCACUAUACCUGACAUAAAUAAAGUGUGGGAUUCUUGUAGCUACUUUGCUGUGUUACCGGAAAAUCUUCCCUAUUCCCACUGUUGGUGACAUGUAAGGAUGAAUGUCUUGUUUGGACAGAGAACACUGUCUGCAAUGUGAUGUAAGAUGGAGAGAUGAGAGGAAGACGGGGAGCAGGGGGCACAAAGAGGAAGGAGCAGAGGGUGAGAGGAUGUAGGAGCACUGGGGGAGUGCCGACAGACUGAGUGUUUAACUUUUGGCGAGUGUGCUGGGCUCCAGCUGGGGGGAGUGACAUGUGUGUUCACACGCGUUUCAAACAAUAAAAGCUUGGCUCCUGACUGAGCAAAAGUC